rnacentral:rRNA from 1 species
ACGCUCGACACCUACGGGGGCAGCAGUGGGGAAUAUUGCACAAUGGGGGAAACCCUGAUGCAGCGACGCCGCGUGGAGGAAGAAGGUCUUCGGAUUGUAAACUCCUGUUGUUGGGGAAAAAGAGGAUGGUACCCAACAAGGAAGUGACGGCUAACUACGUGCCUAGCAGCCGCGGUAAUCUGAGCGGGCUGGCAAGGC